UGGGGAAUAUUGCACAAUGGGCGCAAGCCUGAUGCAGCCAUGCCGCGUGUAUGAAGAAGGCCUUCGGGUUGUAAAGUACUUUCAGUCGGGAGGAAGGUGUCAAGGUUAAUAACCUUGGCAAUUGACGUUACCGACAGAAGAAGCACCGGCUAACUCCGUGCCAGUAGCCGCGGUAAUACGGAGGGUGCAAGCGUUAAUCGGAAUUACUGGGCGUAAAGCGCACGCAGGCGGUUGAUUGAGUCAGAUGUGAAAUCCCCGGGCUUAACCCGGGAAUUGCAUCUGAUACUGGCAAGCUUGAGUCUCGUAGAGGGGGGUAGAAUUCCAGGUGUAGCGGUGAAAUGCGUAGAGAUCUGGAGGAAUACCGGUGGCGAAGGCGGCCCCCUGGACGAAGACUGACGCUCAGGUGCGAAAGCGUGGGGAGCAAACAGG
rnacentral:rRNA from 1 species